rnacentral:rRNA from 1 species
GGGCUUAACUGUCUCCCCCUUCCAGUCAGUGAAAUUGAUCUAUCCGUGCAGAAGCGGGUAUAAUUUUACAAGACGAGAAGACCCUUUGGAGCUUAAGGUACAAAAUUCAGUCACGUUAAACAACUCCAUGAAAAGCAAGAACUUAGUGGCCAUGAAAUUUUACCUUCGGUUGGGGCGACCACGGAGGAAAAGCAAGCCUCCGAGUGGACUGGGCCAAAACCCCUAAAGCUAAAAGAGACAUCUUAAAGCCGCAGAACAUCUGACCAACAAUGAUCCGGCUAACAAAGCCGAUCAGCGGACCAAGUUACCCUAGGGAUAACAGCGCAAUCCUCUCCCAGAGCCCAUAUCGACGAGGGGGUUUACGACCUCGAUGUUGGAUCAGGACAUCCUGGUGGUGCAGCCGCUAUUAAGGGUUCGUUUGUUCAACGAUUAAAGUCCUACGUGAUCUGAGUUCAGACCGGAGCAAUCCAGGUCAGUUUCUAUCUGUAACGCUACUUUUCCUAGUACGAAAGGAUCGGAAAAGAGGGGCCCAUACUCAACGCAUGCCCCACCCCUAAUUCAUGAAAACAAAUAAAUUAAAUAAGGGAGGGCUAAAACCCCUGCCGCC